UUACCUACGGGACGCAGCAGUGGGGAAUAUUGGGCAAUGGGCGCAAGCCUGACCCAGCAACGCCGCGUGAAGAAUGAAGGUUUUCGGAUUGUAAACUUCUGUCGCGAGGGACGAAGAAUGACGGUACCUCGUAAGAAAGCCCCGGCUAACUACGUGCCAGCAGCCGCGGUAAUACGUAGGGGGCAAGCGUUGUCCGGAAUUACUGGGUGUAAAGGGAGCGUAGGCGGGAGAGCAAGUCGACUGUGAAAUCUAUGGGCUUAACCCAUAGCUGCGAUCGAAACUGUUCAUCUUGAGUGAAGUAGAGG
rnacentral:rRNA from 1 species